rnacentral:rRNA from 1 species
GACGAACGCUGGCGGCGUGCUUAACACAUGCAAGUCGAACGGAAAGGCCCUGCUUUUGUGGGGUGCUCGAUUGGCGAACGGGUGAGUAACACGUGAGUAACCUGCCCUUGACUUUGGGAUAACUUCAGGAAACUGGGGCUAAUACCGGAUAGGAGCUCCUGCUGCAUGGUGGGGGUUGGAAAGUUUCGGCGGUUGGGGAUGGACUCGCGGAUUAUCAGCUUGUUGGUGGGGUAGUGGCUUACCAAGGCUUUGACGGGUAGCCGGCCUGAGAGGGUGACCGGCCACAUUGGGACUGAGAUACGGCCCAGACUCCGACGGGAGGCAGCAGUGGGGAAUAUUGCACAAUGUGCGGAAGCCUGAUGCAGCAACGCCGCGUGCGGGAUGACGGCCUUCGGGCGGUAAACCGCUUUCGCCUGUGACGAAGCGUGAGUGACGGUAAUGGGUAAAGAAGCGCCGGCUAACUACGUG